rnacentral:lncRNA from 1 species
GUUCAGGGAUCGACCUCUGCGGUCGUAUAAAGCUGCGCCCUGCAGAGCACCUGGUUGUAAUCUUUUACAAAAAUCUUCUCCUCUGAAACUACUAAGGCAAAUUUAACCAAACUUGUCCACAAUCGUCAUAAGGGUAUGUAGUUUAAAAAAUGUGUCCGUUGACCCGGCCAGCCAACCAAGAUGGCCGCCAUGGCUGAAAUAGAACACCGGG